rnacentral:lncRNA from 1 species
CUACCACUUCCCUGGGGAGCCUGUUCUGAAACUUAACCAGUCUUUUAGUGAAAUUUUUUUCUUAGUUGGUGCCAGAAAGCAUCUACCUGGAAACACUCAGACACUGGUAAUAGUAUAUGGAUCCUGUUGGAGAUAGAGUAUCAUACAAGUAUUGGAUGAAUAGCAAACAGCCUUGCUGCUACAUUUCAAGGCGCAGCCUGAGUCUUGGUGUGCAGAAUAUCAUCCCAUGAGGCAGUGCUGAGACAUCUUCAUCUACAGAAAAGAGUGAGCCCUGCAAAGAGGAUUUUCCAACAUUACAGCAAGGUAGGAACUCUCAGAUAUGGCCAUGCAUAGAUUGCACAGCACAAAGCUAGAUCAUCUGUUCUUUCCAAGUCCUAGAAAUUGUCUUUCCCUAAACCUCUGAUUCAUUAUUCAGCAUUAUAUUCUGGGUUUUAGUCAGCUUUAUCAUACACGGUCCAUUGUUGUUUUAAUUAACUCCAUGCAUUACCUUAACCAGCUGAGACUUAUAUUUUGCACCCAUAGCAAAGCUAAGCUUGUUCACCUACCACAUUUAUCUUAGAAGCAAGCUAGUCAUGCAGUUUUUAAGGGUUGUGUGACUAGGAAAAAAUACCAUUUCAACCAGUAAGGUAUAAAAAAAACUCUAGACCAGAGCACAAGACAGUAAAUCAAACCCAC